GAGAGGCUAUAUGGGAUGCUGUCUCUGAGGGCUGGCCCUGGGACCACACUGCCUGAGUUUGAAUCUGGCUCCACCAUUUAUUAGUGUGUGAUUUGGGAAAAAGCAAAAUGCACUUUCGUCUUUGCCUCCAAAAGUAAUAAAGAAAAUUGUCGUAAAUGGGAUCCAGAUGAACAAGGUUCCCUGUGGGAACAAAAGAGUCUCAGUCGACAGACAGAGAGAAGCAGGAUCUGCGACCCUCCGCUGCGCGUCUGUCAUACGCGGGAUUUGUAUGCAGAGAGGAAAAGAAUUGCUGAAUAGGAUUACUACUCCGAAGGGGAAAACAAAAGAAGUUUAACAAUCAAUGCAUGAAAGAGAGCAAGCAAACCUCUCCACGGAGGUCGAAGAGAAAGAAAAGAGUUUCUUACUGAAUAAGCGCUAAACCAGAAUGUGAUGCUCAUCACAGGCCAUCUGCUAAGAGAUUGCAAAGACACAAAGAAACCUCCCUCAUCGACAGACAUGUGGCUACUACCCGCCAGGUAGGAGAACUUGACAGCACAUUUGUCAGGCACACUUCGUCCCGGAUUCACCUGGUUAUUGGGGUGGCCAUCUGUGUUUGCUUAUUGCUUUCAUCCAAAGGAAAAAUAAACUUCUCGCUUCUUCAUGACAGGAGCUGGUUUUGCAACUUGGAGCCGAAGUUAGGGUCCUACCCUCCCACAGAAACUAGGAGACGGGGCACAGCUUCCCCGAUGAUUACAUUUCAAAGAGAUGGGUCCCGGGUCCUUGAGAAAGACACACCUGGGUGGUAAAGCUGGCAAGAGGCUUAUUUAGCUUUUGAGAAGAUUUACAUACAUUUCAAGGAGACAGAGAAAGCACUUCCAUUUCAAGUUUUCUAAAAACUCCACUUUGGCCCUUGGGGAGUGCCUGCUGGGGAAGGGAUGUGAAUGUCUGACCCCAGGGCGGGCGUCAGCCCACGACGUGAGAAAAACGGAGGGUGGGCUAGACUUAGGCUGGACUUGAUCUUGUGACCUUGGAAGCCUCCGGUGCUUGGGGAGUUUUCGGAUUUGGUUAGAAUGUUAGCAGUGGUGGGUGGUCACUCGAACCACAGAUCUUCUGACCCCUCUGCCUUCCUGGACUCAUCCUGCGCCCUGUGUCGUAUUCACCGCCUCCCCCGC
rnacentral:lncRNA from 1 species